rnacentral:rRNA from 1 species
AUGAACGCUGGCGGCGUGCCUAAUACAUGCAAGUCGAGCGAACAGACGAGGAGCUUACUCCUCUGACGUUAGCGGCGGACGGGUGAGUAACACGUGGAUAACCUACCUAUAAGACUGGGAUAACUUCGGGAAACCGGAGCUAAUACCGGAUAACAUGUUGAACCGCAUGGUUCAACAGUGAAAGACGGUCUUGCUGUCACUUAUAGAUGGAUCCGCGUCGCAUUAGCUAGUUGGCAAGGUAACGGCUUACCAAGGCAACGAUGCGUAGCCGACCUGAGAGGGUGAUCGGCCACACUGGAACUGAGACACGGUCCAGACUCCUACGGGAGGCAGCAGUAGGGAAUCUUCCGCAAUGGGCGAAAGCCUGACGGAGCAACGCCGCGUGAGUGAAGAAGGUCUUCGGAUCGUAAAACUCUGUUAUUAGGGAAGAACAAAUGUGUAAGUAACUAUGCACGUCUUGACGGUACCUAAUCAGAAAGCCACGGCUAACUACGUG